AAUUGCAGAAUUCAGUGAAUCAUCGAAUCUUUGAACGCACAUUGCGCCCCCUGGUAUUCCGGGGGGCAUGCCUGUUCGAGCGUCAUUUCACCACUCAAGCCUCGCUUGGUAUUGGGCAACGCGGUC
rnacentral:rRNA from 1 species